UGGGGAAUUUUGGACAAUGGGCGCAAGCCUGAUCCAGCCAUACCGCGUGAGUGAAGAAGGCCUUCGGGUUGUAAAGCUCUUUCAGACGGAAAGAAACGGUUACGGCUAAUACCCGUGACUAAUGACGGUACCGUAAGAAGAAGCACCGGCUAACUACGUGCCAGCAGCCGCGGUAAUACGUAGGGUGCGAGCGUUAAUCGGAAUUACUGGGCGUAAAGCGUGCGCAGGCGGUUUGGUAAGACAGAUGUGAAAUCCCCGGGCUUAACCUGGGAACUGCAUUUGUGACUGCCAGACUAGAGUGUAGCAGAGGGGGGUAGAAUUCCACGUGUAGCAGUGAAAUGCGUAGAUAUGUGGAGGAAUACCGAUGGCGAAGGCAGCCCCCUGGGCUAACACUGACGCUCAUGCACGAAAGCGUGGGGAGCAAACAGGAUUAGAUACCCUCGUAGUCCCUGAGCGGGCUGGCAAGGCGCAU
rnacentral:rRNA from 1 species